rnacentral:rRNA from 1 species
AGUGAACGCUGGCGGUAUGCCUAACACAUGCAAGUCGAACGGCAGCACAGUAAGAGCUUGUUUCUACGGGUGGCGAGUGGCGGACGAGUAAGGAAUACAUCGCAAUCUACUUUUUCGUGGAGGAAAACGUAGGGAAACUUCCGCUAAUACCUCAUAUCACCUACGGCUGAAAACAAAGGAUCUCCAGAGCUUACGCGAUUCAAUGAGCCGAUGUCGGAUUAGCUAGUUGGCGGGGUAAAGGCCCACCAAGGCCACGAUCCGUAGCCGGUCUGAGAGGAUGAUCCGCCACACUGGAACUGAGACACGGUCCAGACUCCUACGGGAGGCAGCAGUAGGGAAUAUUGGUCAAUGGGCGCAAGCCUGACCGAGCAAUGCCGCGUGGGUGAUGAAGGCCUUCGGUUUGUAAAACCCUUUUAUUAGGAAAGAAAAGAAGCAGGUUAAAAUCCCGCUGUUUUGACGGUACCCAAAGAGUAAGCACCGGCUAACUACGUG